UAGACACUUCCUGACCUUUACGUCUGAUACAUUCUUUGAGAGAACUUCUCCACCGACCCCGUCACCUGGAUUGGAUCACCGACCUCUCCCAAGAGGGGCCUGGCUUCCUCCUCGCUGGGGAAACGGUCUUAGGUCUAGUGGAAGCUGCUUCGGAGCCAUGGAGAAAAGGCAGCCUGCGCUGAUUGACCAUGAGCCUAAGUACACUGCAUGAACCUUUGGAAGUACCUCUUCUAUGUCUGCCUGAACAAUCAUACCUCAUUAAACAUAAGAUGAAAUAAAGACAUUUCAAGUCAGAGAAGAGUUGAUCAAUUUCCUGCCACAGAAUGACAUUAAACAGUAAAAGAAGUUUCUUGAGCUGAAAGAAAAGUCCAGAAGAUCCUACAGGAGAUUCCACUGGCCCUUUAAGCAAGAAACGACUUCACAGUUGAAACCUUGGUUUGGAAGACUCUUGUUUCAAAUCUCGGCAGCAUCCAAUGAGCCCUCCUCAU
rnacentral:lncRNA from 1 species